AGUGAACGCUGGCGGUAGGCCUAACACAUGCAAGUCGAACGGCAGCACAGUAAGAGCUUGCUCUUACGGGUGGCGAGUGGCGGACGGGUGAGGAAUACAUCGGAAUCUACUUUUUCGUGGGGGGUAACGUCGGGAAACUUACGCUAAUACCGCAUACGACCUACGGGUGAAAGCAGGGGAUCUUCCGACCUUGCGCGAUUGAAUGAGCCGAUGUCGGAUUAGCUAGUUGGCGGGGUAAAGGCCCACCAAGGCGACGAUCCGUAGCUGGUCUGAGAGGAUGAUCAGCCACACUGGAACUGAGACACGGUCCAGACUCCUACGGGAGGCAGCAGUGGGGAAUAUUGGACAAUGGGCGCAAGCCUGAUCCAGCCAUACCGCGUGGGUGAAGAAGGCCUUCGGGUUGUAAAGCCCUUUUGUUGGGAAAGAAAAGCAGCAGGUUAAUACCCCGCUGUUCUGACGGUACCCAAAGAAUAAGCACCGGCUAACUUCGUG
rnacentral:rRNA from 1 species